rnacentral:rRNA from 1 species
AGUGAACGCUGGCGGUAGGCCUAACACAUGCAAGUCGAGCGGCAGCACAGUAAGAGCUUGCUCUUACGGGUGGCGAGUGGCGGACGGGUGAGGAAUACAUCGGAAUCUACUUUUUCGUGGGGGAUAACGUAGGGAAACUUACGCUAAUACCGCAUACGACCUACGGGUGAAAGCAGGGGAUCUUCGGACCUUGCGCGAUUGAAUGAGCCGAUGUCGGAUUAGCUAGUUGGCUGGGUAAAGGCCCACCAAGGCGACGAUCCGUAGCUGGUCUGAGAGGAUGAUCAGCCACACUGGAACUGAGACACGGUCCAGACUCCUACGGGAGGCAGCAGUGGGGAAUAUUGGACAAUGGGCGCAAGCCUGAUCCAGCCAUACCGCGUGGGUGAAGAAGGCCUUCGGGUUGUAAAGCCCUUUUGUUGGGAAAGAAAAGCAGCAGGUUAAUACCCCGCUGUUCUGACGGUACCCAAAGAAUAAGCACCGGCUAACUUCGUG